GACGAACGCUGGCGGCGUGCUUAACACAUGCAAGUCGAACGAAGAGCGACGGAAGCUUGCUUCUAUCAAUCUUAGUGGCGAACGGGUGAGUAACGCGUAAUCAACCUGCCCUUCAGAGGGGGACAACAGUUGGAAACGACUGCUAAUACCGCAUACGAUCUAACCUCGGCAUCGAGGAUAGAUGAAAGGUGGCCUCUACAUGUAAGCUAUCACUGAAGGAGGGGAUUGCGUCUGAUUAGCUAGUUGGAGGGGUAACGGCCCACCAAGGCGAUGAUCAGUAGCCGGUCUGAGAGGAUGAACGGCCACAUUGGGACUGAGACACGGCCCAGACUCCUACGGGAGGCAGCAGUGGGGAAUCUUCCGCAAGGGACGAAAGUCUGACGGAGCAACGCCGCGUGAGUGAUGACGGCCUUCGGGUUGUAAAGCUCUGUUAAUCGGGACGAAAGGCCUUCUUGCGAAUAGGGAGAAGGAUUGACGGUACCGGAAUAGAAAGCCACGGCUAACUACGUG
rnacentral:rRNA from 1 species